rnacentral:rRNA from 1 species
AUGAACGCUGGCGGCGUGCUUAACACAUGCAAGUCGAACGAAGCACUUUAUUUGAUUUCCUUCGGGACUGAUUAUUUUGUGACUGAGUGGCGGACGGGUGAGUAACGCGUGGGUAACCUGCCUUGUACAGGGGGAUAACAGUUGGAAACGGCUGCUAAUACCGCAUAAGCGCACGGCAUCGCAUGAUGCAGUGUGAAAAACUCCGGUGGUAUAAGAUGGACCCGCGUUGGAUUAGCUAGUUGGUGAGGUAACGGCCCACCAAGGCGACGAUCCAUAGCCGACCUGAGAGGGUGACCGGCCACAUUGGGACUGAGACACGGCCCAAACUCCUACGGGAGGCAGCAGUGGGGAAUAUUGCACAAUGAGCGAAAGCCUGAUGCAGCGACGCCGCGUGAGCGAAGAAGUAUUUCGGUAUGUAAAGCUCUAUCAGCAGGGAAGAUAAUGACGGUACCUGACUAAGAAGCACCGGCUAAAUACGUG